GUGCUUGCUUCAGCACGAGAAAAUUGGAAUGAUACAGAGAAGAUUAGCAUGGCCCCUGCACAAGGAUGACACAAAUUUGUGAAGUGUCCCCUGUUUGG
ensembl:snRNA U6 U6 spliceosomal RNA